rnacentral:rRNA from 1 species
GACGAACGCUGGCGGCGUGCUUAACACAUGCAAGUCGAACGGAAAGACCCUGCUUUUGUGGGGUGCUCGAGUGGCGAACGGGUGAGUAACACGUGAGUAACCUGCCCUUGACUUUGGGAUAACUUCAGGAAACUGGGGCUAAUACCGGAUAGGAGCUCCUGCUGCAUGGUGUGGGUUGGAAAGUUUCGGCGGUUGGGGAUGGACUCGCGGCUUAUCAGCUUGUUGGUGGGGUAGUGGCUUACCAAGGCUUUGACGGGUAGCCGGCCUGAGAGGGUGACCGGCCACAUUGGGACUGAGAUACGGCCCAGACUCCUACGGGAGGCAGCAGUGGGGAAUAUUGCACAAUGGGCGGAAGCCUGAUGCAGCAACGCCGCGUGCGGGAUGACGGCCUUCGGGUUGUAAACCGCUUUCGCCUGUGACGAAGCGUGAGUGACGGUAAUGGGUAAAGAAGCACCGGCUAACUACGUG